rnacentral:rRNA from 1 species
CGCGUAGGCGGGCGACCAAGUCAGGGGUGAAAUCUUUCGGCUUAACCGGAAAAUAGCCUCUGAUACUGGUUGUCUUGAGGGAGGUAGGGGUCUGUGGAACUUCUGGUGGAGCGGUGAAAUGCGUAGAUAUCAGAAGGAACGCCGGUGGCGAAAGCGACGGACUGGACCUCAUCUGACGCUGAGGCGCGAAAGCUAGGGGAGGCAAACG